AUUGAACGCUGGCGGCAGGCCUAACACAUGCAAGUCGAGCGGAUGAAGGGAGCUUGCUCCUGGAUUCAGCGGCGGACGGGUGUGUAAUGCCUAGGAAUCUGCCUGGUAGUGGGGGAUAACGUCCGGAAACGGGCGCUAAUACCGCAUACGUCCUGAGGGAGAAAGUGGGGGAUCUUCGGACCUCACGCUAUCAGAUGAGCCUAGGUCGGAUUAGCUAGUUGGUGGGGUAAAGGCCUACCAAGGCGACGAUCCGUAACUGGUCUGAGAGGAUGAUCAGUCACACUGGAACUGAGACGCGGUCCAGACUCCUACGGGAGGCAGCAGUGGGGAAUAGUAGACAAUGGGCGAAAGCCUGAUCCAGCCAUGCCGCGUGUGUGAAGAAGGUCUUCGGAUUGUAAAGCACUUUAAGUUGGGGGGAAGGGCAGUAAGUUAAUACCUUGCUGUUUUGACGUUACCAACAGAAUAAGCACCGGCUAACUUCGUG
rnacentral:rRNA from 1 species